rnacentral:rRNA from 1 species
UACGUAGGGUGCAAGCGUUGUCCGGAAUUAUUGGGCGUAAAGAGCUCGUAGGCGGUCUGUCGCGUCGGAUGUGAAAACCCAGGGCUCAACCCUGGGCCUGCAUUCGAUACGGGCAGACUAGAGUUCGGUAGGGGAGACUGGAAUUCCUGGUGUAGCGGUGAAAUACGCAGAUAUCAGGAGGAACACCGGUGGCGAAGGCGGGUCUCUGGGCCGAAACUGACGCUGAGGAGCGAAAGCGUGGGGAGCGAACAGG